rnacentral:siRNA from 1 species
ACUACUGAUGGAGAUGCUUUAAU